ACCGGCAGCUCAAGUGGUGGCCAUUAUUAUUGGGCCUAAAGCGUUCGUAGCCGGUUUGAUAAGUCUCUGGUGAAAUCCCGCAGCUUAACUGUGGGACUUGCUGGAGAUACUAUCAGACUUGAGGUCGGGAGAGGGUAGGGGUACUCCCAGGGAAGGGGUGAAAUCCUAUAAUCCUGGGAGGACCACCUGUGGCGAAGGCGCGUAACUGGAACGAUACUGUCGGGGAGUAACGAAAGCCAGGGGCGCGAACCG
rnacentral:rRNA from 1 species